UGCAUGUGUGACACAUGAUCAACAUGAGCUAGCUAGGGAGGUUUUCGUCUUUUGAUUUUUUUUACAAAGCAACUCAAUUUGCAGACAAUCCCGUUCUUAUUUUUCGUUGUAAAAUCCACCUUCUUCCCUUUUCAUCAACAACUUCUGCUGGUGAUUCUAGAACAUCUCUAGCAAGAGGAAAAAGACUUUGUUCUCAACCUAAUUUACUCUCUGGUUCUGGCUAAGAAGGUUCAACUGCGUUCAGGCUUUUGAGUAUGUUGCAAUAUCGUCUCCUUUCACUUUUGUGAAAUUGCUGUGGUUUAGAAAUGUUCUUUUGUCUGAGAAUUCACCUGUGAUUGCUGUCACUAAGAACUAGAAAGCUCUACUUUAGGAAAGUCGGGCCUAAGUGGCACCCCACCACCUCGGUGGCUACCCGGAAGAUUGUUGCGGCAACGAUGGCUGGUAACCAGAACUACCCUAACGGUGGCUAUGGCCAUGUGAAUAGUAGAGUGAAUUUGCUUUGUGGCUCUUAAACUUUUAUGGUUUACAUUUGCAUAAGAAUUACAUUUAUAUAUUUCUGUUUAGAUGGUGCUUUUGUUUAUUAUCUACGUUUAGCUCUCACAUUAUAUUUUCGUUGUUACACCCUUUACUGGGCAUUCGCUCACUCCCUUUGUUUUGUUUCCCCCCCUCAGAGUACGAAGAGAAGUUGCAGCAGUAAGCCGGGCAGAGCUUACGGAAAAUUGUUAGCGCUUGAAAGUUAAUAUUUUGUAAGCUUAUGAUAUUGUAUAUCACAGGGGUAUUUGGGUAGUUAGUUUUCUUACCUUAUCCCAUGUCAUUUUUGUACAUUUUGCUGCUAUGAUUGGGAUCUUGUAAAUGAUCUUGUUAUGCUUUGUAACUGGAAACUUGGUGGUGUCCUGUACAGAAGGUCUGAUUUUGGCGUGUAUAUAUACUGCAUACAGAACCUUUAUUUCUCGUUAGUGUGUCGGCAUGUCUUCAUUUAUGUACUGGUAUCUGCUUAGAACUACUUUUACUUAAACUUAAUUUACUUGAAAGUUUCAGUCUUACGUAA